AAUGUACUCCCUCCGUCCGAAAAUACUUGUCAUCAAAAUGGAUAAAAAGAGAUGUAUCUAGAACUAAUAUAUGUCUAGAUACAUACCCUUUUAUUCAUUUUGAUGACAAGUAUUCCCGGACGGAGGGAGUAUUAU
rnacentral:pre_miRNA from 1 species